rnacentral:rRNA from 1 species
CCUACGGGGGGCAGCAGUAGGGAAUAUUGGACAAUGGGUGAGAGCCUGAUCCAGCCAUGCCGCGUGCAGGAAGAAGGCGUUAUGCGUUGUAAACUGCUUUUGCCAGGGGAUAAAACGGUUCUGCGGAACUAAUUGAAGGUACCUGGUGAAUAAGCCACGGCUAACUACGUGCCAGCAGCCGGGGUAAUACGUAGGUGGCAAGCGUUGUCCGGAUUUAUUGGGUUUAAAGGGUGCGUAGGCGGCCCUGUAAGUCAGUGCUGAAAUAUCCCGGCUUAACCGGGAGGGUGGCAUUGAUACUGCAGGGCUUGAGUACAGAUGAGGUAGGCGGAAUUGACGGUGUAGCGGUGAAAUGCAUAGAUAUCGUCAAGAACACCGAUAGCGAAGGCAGCUUACCAAGCUGUAACUGACGCUGAGGCACGAAAGUGUGGGGAUCAAACAGGAUUAGAUACCCCAGUAGUCC